rnacentral:misc_RNA from 1 species
GAUGAAGAACGUAGUGAAAUGCGAUAAGUAAUGUGAAUUGCAGAAUUCAGUGAAUCAUCGAAUCUUUGAACGCACAUUGCGCCCGCCAGUAUUCUGGCGGGCAUGCCUGUUCGAGCGUCAUUUCAACCAUCAAGCCCUGUGCUUGUGUUGGGGGCCUGCGGCUGCCGCAGCCCCCUAAAAGCAGUGGCGGGCUCGCUGUCAUUCCGAGCGCAGUAACUUAUCUCGCUUUGGUCGUGGCGGUGGGCACCUGCCGUAAAACACUCUUUUUCACAAGGUUGACCUCGGAUCAGGUAGGAAUACCCGCUGAACUUAAGCAUAUCAAUAAGCGGAGGA